rnacentral:rRNA from 1 species
AUUCCCUAGUAACUGCGAGUGAAGCGGGAAAAGCUCAAAUUUAAAAUCUGGCGGUCCUUGUGGCUGUCCGAGUUGUAAUCUAGAGAAGUGCUAUCCGCGCUGGACCGUGUACAAGUCUCCUGGAACGGAGCGUCAUAGAGGGUGAGAAUCCCGUCUUUGACACGGACUACCAGGGCUUUGUGAUGCGCUCUCAAAGAGUCGAGUUGUUUGGGAAUGCAGCUCUAAAUGGGUGGUAAAUUCCAUCUAAAGCUAAAUAUUGGCGAGAGACCGAUAGCGAACAAGUACCGUGAGGGAAAGAUGAAAAGAACUUUGGAAAGAGAGUUAAAAAGUACGUGAAAUUGUUGAAAGGGAAACGCUUGAAGUCAGUCGCGUUGGCCGGGGAUCAACCUUGCUCUUUUGCUUGGCGUACUUUCCGGUUGACGGGUCAGCAUCAAUUUUGACCGGUGGAUAAAGGUCAGGGGAAUGUGGCAUCUUCGGAUGUGUUAUAGCCCUUGGUCGCAUACAUCGGUUGGGAUUGAGGAACUCAGCACGCCGCAAGGCCGGGUCUUUGACCACGUACGUGCUUAGGAUGCUGGCAUAAUGGCUUUAAUCGACCCGUCUUGAAACACGGACCAAGGAGUCUAACAUGCCCGCGAGUGUUUGGGUGGAAAACCCGGACGCGUAAUGAAAGUGAAAGUUGAGAUCCCUGUCGUGGGGAGCAUCGACGCCCGGACCAGACCUUUUGUGACGGUCCCGCGGUAGAGCGUGUAUGUUGGGACCCGAAAGAUGGUGAACUAUGCCUGAAUAGGGUGAAGCCAGAGGAAACUCUGGUGGAGGCUCGUAGCGAUUCUGACGUGCAAAUCGAUCGUCGAAUUUGGGUAUAGGGCGAAAGACUAAUCGA